rnacentral:rRNA from 1 species
AUUGAACGCUGGCGGCAUGCCUUACACAUGCAAGUAGAACGCUGAAGAAAGGAGCUUGCUUCUUUUGGAUGAGUUGCGAACGGGUGAGUAACGCGUAGGUAACCUGCCUUGUAGCGGGGGAUAACUAUUGGAAACGAUAGUUAAUACCGCAUAACAGCUCUUGACACUUGUUAGAAGCGUGAAAGAUGCAAUUGCAUCACUACGAGAUGGACCUGAGGUGUAUUAGGUAGUAGGUAGGGUAACGGCCUAACUAGGCGACGAUACAUAGGCAGGCUGGGAGGGUGAUCGGGCACACUGGGACGGAGACACGGCCCAGACUCCUACGGGAGGCAGGAGUAGGGAAUGUUCGGCAAUGGGGGCAACCCUGACCGAGCAACGCCGCGUGAGUGAAGAAGGGUUUCGGAUCGUAAAGCUCUGUUGUAAGAGAAGAACGUGUGUGAGAGUGGAAAGUUCACACAGUGACGGUAACUUACCAGAAAGGGACGGCUAACUACGUGCCAGCCGCCGCCGUAACAC